rnacentral:tRNA from 1 species
GAAGAGUUAGUUAAAAUAUAACAUAAGGUUGUCAAUCUUGAGUUACUAAUGAAUUAGUACUUUUCU